GACGAACGCUGGCGGCGUGCUUAACACAUGCAAGUCGAACGGAAAGGCCCCUUUGGGGGUACUCGAGUGGCGAACGGGUGAGUAACACGUGAGUAACCUGCCCUUGACUUCGGGAUAACUUCAGGAAACUGGGGCUAAUACCGGAUAGGAAUCCUUGCUGCAUGGUGGGGGUUGGAAAGCUUCGGCGGUUUUGGAUGGACUCGCGGCUUAUCAGCUUGUUGGUGGGGUAGUGGCUUACCAAGGCUUUGACGGGUAGCCGGCCUGAGAGGGCGACCGGCCACAUUGGGACUGAGAUACGGCCCAGACUCCUACGGGAGGCAGCAGUGGGGAGUAUUGCACAAUGGGCGGAAGCCUGAUGCAGCAACGCCGCGUGCGGGAUGACGGCCUUCGGGUUGUAAACCGCUUUCAGCAGGGGCGAAGCUUGUGGUGACGGUACCUGCAGAAGAAGCACCGGCUAACUACGUG
rnacentral:rRNA from 1 species